UCGUUUCAUGCCUCAGACAUGGAAAAAUUGAAUCAGCAUGCGGGUUGAGAUUUUAGGGCUGGAAUGCCUCAACACCUAUUAAAGUCAUCUAUCUCAGCUAUCAAGUAACAGGAAGCCUGGAUACUUUAUUUGCCUUUAGGUUUUUGUUUUGCGGUAGGGCUUGUGUGGACUAGGAUUUUACCAUGGUCAAUUUUUUUUUGUUUCUUCUAGAUACAGGCACACAAUGUCCUUCUAAUGACAGAAUCAUACCAAACUUACUUUGGUGAAAAGUUGAAAAUAUCCGGAUUGUGAGUUUUCCUGAGUGUUUGGAAGAUAGCAAGUAUGUUGAUUCUGUCAUAGAGGUAGACGCUGUGCCAUUCACAUAUGCAUAGCUUUAUUACUUAUCAUUGCUUUUUUAAGAUACAGACACACAAUGUCCUUCUAAUGACGGAAUCAUACCAAAUUUAUUUGGUGAAAAGUUGACAACAUCCAGAUUGGGAAUUUCCCUGGAUUAUUUGGAAGAUAGCAAGUAUUGGAAUGGUGAUUCUGUCAUAGUGGUAGACGCUGUGUCAUUAGAACAUGCAUAGCUUUAUUACUUAUUACGUUUUCAUAUGAAGGCACACAAUGUCCUUCUUAUGACAGAAUCAUACCAAGUUUACUUGGUGAAAAGUUGAACACAUCUAGGUUGUGAGUUUUCCUGAGUGUUUGGAAGAUAGCAAGUAUUGGAAUUGUGAUUCUGUCAUAGAGGUAGACGAUGUGUCAUUAGAAUAUGAAUUCGAAUAGCUUUAUUACUUAUUACUUUUAUAUACAGGCACACAAUGUCCUUCUUAUGACAGAAUUAUACCAGGUUAACUUGGUGAAAAGUUGAACACAUCCAGAUUGUGAGUUUUCCUGAGUGUUUGGAAGAUAGCAAGUAUUGGAAUUGUGAUUCUGUCAUAGAGGUAGACGAUGUGUCAUUAGAAUAUGAAUUCGAAUAGCUUUAUUACUUAUUACUUUUAUAUACAGGCACACAAUGUCCUUCUUAUGACAGAAUUAUACCAGGUUAACUUGGUGAAAAGUUGAACACAUCCAGAUUGUGAGUUUUCCUGAGUGUUUGGAAGAUAGCAAGUAUUGGAAUGGUGAUUUUGUCAUAGAGGUAGACGCUGUGCCAUUAGAAUAUGCAUAGCUUUUUUACUUAUUACUUUUAUAUACAGGCACACAAUGUCCUUCAUAUGACAGAAUCAUACCAAGUUUAAUUGGUGAAAAGUUGAACACAUCCAGGUUGGGAAUUUUUCCGAUAACGAGUAUUGGAAUGGUGAUUCUGUCAUAGAGGUAGACGCUGUGCCAUAAGAAUAUCCAUAGGUAACGAUAAGUAAAAGGUAGACCCGAAGUCUGUGCAGUUGAAAAUCUUUCGACUGUACAUCAAUGAUGUCAGCAGAUUUGUAAUACCAUGUCAUUCAAAUAUGGAUGGAGAUGCUGAAGACCUUGAGAAAUGGAAAGAACUGGAAAUAUGGGAACAUAGUAAACCAACGUGUCAUUCAUAACAACAUUAGUUCUGUUAAAUGACAGCGAAGUGACUGGGGAAAAUAAUGGUUAUGGCGAAAGUUGUGGAAAGGAAAACAGCUAAUGUAGUUCUUUGUUCAUUGAACCGAAUGUCAUUUCUUUCAGUCCCCAAAGGUAAAUACAUCAACAUUAACAAUCAUGACAUAAAUGUUAAUAUCGAACAAUGUAACAAUGAAACCGUUACUAACACUGUUAUAUCUGCUGUAUGUCAUUGAGACUGGAGAUAUUAAGGAAGUAAUUUUUUGUGCUUUUUUUUCUUUUAAUAAAGUAAAAACGCUACGGCUACAUGA